GGUCCGCUGGCGUAAUGGCAGCGCGUCUGACUACGAUUCCAAAAGAUCAAGUAAUCAGGAGGUUCCAGGUUCGACCCCUGGGCGGAUCG
rnacentral:tRNA from 2 species